GACUAGUGUAGCGUGCUGAAGCCCAGUCUACUGGAGUGCUCUGUGCAAGAUCAUAGUAAGACUCCUUGCUAACAUAUGCUUGUGUUUAAUGCAGCGACCUGCUUCUGCAUGGAGGUAAAUGAAGCUUUUAAGCAGGGCGGAGGGAAGGGGGACCACUGAAAAGAUUAAUUGACUUUCCGCAGAGCUUCACUUAUCCUCCACUGGCACCUUUGACUUUUGCAGUGCGUUGCCUUAUCUUUGCCACUGGUGAACAGCUGGAGCAGCAGCAGGAAUUGCAGCAGGAAUUGAAUACUCCUCCACGAAGCUGAAGCUGUUCAAAGAUGUUUAGACUGUUGGCCUCCGAACUCGCUUAAGAAAUGCUGCAUGAACAGCAGAAAUGUUGCAGCCUCAACUAACACACACUAAAAGCACUCAGUGUCAGUGUUUAAGUGUGUCCCUCUUGUAUGUCUGAAACACACACACGCUCAUGGACACACAUAGACAUUGAUGUACAUGCAGUACAUAUACAGCUGCAGGUUGUAUAGUAACUUUGACUUUGACUCCGAACCCUGCAUGGUGAGAGAGAAGAGCCCAAUGUGUGAAUGUACAAAGAGUUCGCUCCCCACCCCCAUCAACGCUGCUGUAAACUCCACCACCCACAGCUGCACACACUUCUCCUGUCACGGUGAUAAUCUCUUUGUCAGGAGCCGUCUGUUAGAGAUUUGUCCGUCUGAUUUGGUGAACGUCCGAGUGGCAGGUCUAGCUGCAGUGCCACAGGGUGUCCGAGGGUCUGUGUGUGUGUGUGUGUGUGUGUUUGUGUGCGUGUGUGUGUGUGUGUGUGUGUGUGUGUGUGUGUGUGUGUGUGUGUGUGUGUGUGUGUGUGUGCGUGUGUGUGUGUGCGUGUGCGCGCGUGCGUGUGUGUGUGUGCGCGUGCGCGUGCGUAUGUGUGUGUACACCCAGUGCCAUAGGUGGUGGAAUCUCCAUUCUUAUCAAGAGUGUGUAUGUCGCUUGUCUUAGGACCUCUGUUUUGUGACAAAAGAGGAAUGGUGAACAGAAGACAAACAUGUAGUUUCACAAAACACAGUUGUAAUUUGAAUUUAACAUUUAAUAUCCACUUAAAUAUUAUCUGCUUCUUUUUUGUUUGUUUGAGUCCAUCCUUAUCUUUCCUCAUCUUAUCAUCCAUACUGAAUAUGAAAUGAGACAGUUUUUAUAAUUCCUUUCAUCGGGAAAUAUCCACUAGAUGGCUCUGCUUUCUACCUCUAAUUUGUCGCUUUGCUCCUACAGUACAUUUUCAAGCAGCUUUGAAAAUCCCAUUCAUCUGUGUUAAGAAAAAGUUCGUUCUAAAACCUAAAAUAAAAUUCCUGUAAACUCGUGGACUAUUGGGUCUAAUAGCAUUGUUCUCACCAGUAAUCACAUGACAACUUCAAUAACACCUCUGUUGACCUCAAAAUAAGCAUUAUCUGCUCUGUCUUUAAUCCGGCAAAAUAUAACAUGAUGUGCCAUUCUUGUGGUAAUCUUCUGCUCCGUGUUUUGUAUAUUGUGCAUUGGAUUUUGAGCAGCACUUUAACUUUAUCUGCAUAAAUCACUUGCCAAAUGCUGUAAAUCUUAAUGCCUUUUCACUUUCUCUUUGCAGGAAGGUCAGAGGUCAAAUCCUGUAUGAAAAAACACCUCCAGACUGGGUAAUAAUUCAGUAACAAAGUCACUUCAGCAGUUUGGUGUCACAGGGACCUGAACCAUGGCUGUGUGGUUAAAGGAUGGCCAGAUGCAAACCUGGUGUCCCACUCGUGAUUUUAAAUUAAUUUCCACAAGACCAAAACCUGAAACUACAACAGUUUGAGUAAGAUUAAAUAAUUAGUUGAAGCCACAGAAGUUUUGAGAUUUUAACUUGCAGUAAGAAGUUGUAAUAAGAUGAGAAAAUCACACUUUUUUUUUAAUACAUUUUGAAGUACUCCCUUUAUGAAAGAUAAUAUAAAUUCUGCCAAAGCUGUAAUUGUUGGGUUGAGUUAUUGUUUCUCAAAGCUCUUUUUCUUUCUUUUGCCUUUCAUCUCUCCCCUCCUGACAUGUUCUCCUUCCUCUAUCUGUUGUUUGGUCUCCUCUUGUCACUCCACUGCAAUCAUCUUCGCAGGGGGGCUUGUCAUCUGUAUCUACUCAUAUCCUACAAUCCCUUUUGCUCUGAGCACUACUGCACUUAAAUGUCAGGGCUGAUGAGCCUGCCACACCCACCUGACACAUCAGCUCAGCACCUGCUAAAAGCUUUUAUGGAGCAGAGUGUGAGCCUGGUGGUUGAUAUAAAUUAAAGAGUUUUUUCUUCUUUUUCUUUUUUUUUUUUUGGCGGGGGGGAAUUAUGGCUCUAAAGGGACAACUUCUGGUAAGAAAUGGAAAGAUAGAGUUACAGCAUAGGCUGUGAUUGGUUGCCAUCUAGUGGCUCUAACAAGUGCUUGCUGCCACACUAUGAUGGACCAAGAGAAAGAUUAGAUACAGAAACUCAACUCUCACCAACUAAAACUAUAUUAUAUUUAACACUGAUCAAAGGAAAAACACAAUAAAAAUUUGCCUUGGUAAAUUUGAGAUUUCAAAUAUGAAGUGUAAUUGAUACCUCUGUGUUUUAGUGUUCCCUGACUACUGACAAAAUUAAUCUAUUAGGAAACAGUGUCUUUAGGAUGUGACCCUAUGUGCUGAAUGUAAACCUGACAGAUAACUCACAGACUGGUCUCUGACAAGUGGCUAUAACUUUCAGAAAUGUUUACGUUUUGUGACACACUGGAUGUGAAAUAUUUGAAACUUCUUACACUAUUGAAUAUUAAAAAUUUUAAUGCUAGAAUGUCAAUGACUUGUUUAUUGCAUGUUAAUGAAGGUUUAGUGUGUUAAUGACAGUAUUAUAUCUUCCUAUUUGUGUCUGUCUUGGGACUAUACCUUCAGUUGUAAUGCAAUGUGUUUCUUAUAUUUCUCAUGUGCUUUUUUGUAUUUUUUUUUUUUAUGUUAAGCAUAAACAAAUGAACAGAAACAGGGUAAAAUAAGAAACAUAAAAGUGCUGCUGAUCAUUCAAAAAUGGAAAUGUUAUAAGAAUAUAAAAAUAAUCUAAUGAGAAAGUAGGAUAGAAAUGGAUCUCAUAUUCUGUGGGACUGAAAAAGCUUCAAGAAAAAUCUCCAUGGGCAUGAGUUACUUCAACGGCGUAGGUUUGGUCUCAACAUUGGUACGGACGCAACAACCCUGCCACCCCUCCAAAACAAAGAGACUGUCUUUUUAAUGCCGUCAACCAAAUGGAAUGCCCAUAUGGAAAUGUAAUAUAUGUACGUGUGUUGAAUUUCCUAAAUAUAUGUACAUAUGUAGUAAAGUCUUCAAUGUGUUUAAAAUAUGUGUUUAAAGUAUAUGAAACCUGUUAGAAAUUUGAACAAUGUCUUUAUAUUAUAGACAUAUAGUAAAUAACUAUAUAUCCAUCCCAAAGCCCAUCAGUAUAUGUUCAUAUUAUGUAAAUAUAAAAGAUAGACAGGUAUGUUCAAAUUGAAUAAGAAAUUAUUUAGAAAAGCAUAUACAGUCAUAUAGACAAUACAAUACAAUUUUAAUGAGCAUGUUGUUUUA